UCAAAGCUGAAAAGGAUCAAAACUUCUAUA
rnacentral:piRNA from 1 species